UUUUUUACAGCGAUGCUCGCGGCUCCACGACUCGUCGCAAUGCCAACAUAACCCCAUCGCAGAUCGCUCCCGAAGUUCUUCUCUUGUUAACCUUUUCGGUGCAGGGACUCGGUUGAUAGUAGGGGGGGCUGAGGUCUUUAGUAUUGUAGGUCGUGGAGUGAUCCUAGUCCACCGGGCUUCAUGGUUCAAUCGCUCCUCUUGAAGUCGUGCGAAAGAGAUGGCUGCCAUAAGCGUGUAAGGUUGUCGCGCCUUAACUUCUCCCCGGAUCUCCGGCUUUAAGCCCUCAAUAAAGG
rnacentral:lncRNA from 1 species